GGGACCUCAGAUCAGGCGGGGCUACCCG
rnacentral:rRNA from 1 species